AUUCCAUGAUGAGGGAACUUUCAUAAUAAUUCUUAGCACCUUUCCCAUGCCUCAUACAAGGACUCAUCAUCCAUUUGUUGGAAAGUAGUGAUCUCGUUCCUCAACUU
rfam:Gossypium hirsutum cultivar TM-1 unplaced genomic scaffold scaffold1624.1, whole genome shotgun sequence